GCCGCGGGGCCGGGCAGGGUAGGGCGGCCUGCGGUGCCCCCGGCGGCGGGAGGCGGCCUUCCCCGCGCCUUCCCCGCGCCUUCCCUGCGCUUCUCGUGCGGAGGUCGCUCAGCCUCACGCACGGGUGGGGUCUGGGGAAACGGCUCUGGGGCCCGCCGGGGAGAGCACGCACGGGGCCCCUAGCAGGGGACGCCUCCCAAAGGGGAGGUUGCGGGGCCCGGAGCAUCAUCCCUCACGCCGUCCCCCGUGGCGGUGUUCCAAGAGCUUUGGGGUGCCAUGUGCCUCCAUGUGGCGGAGAAGGCUAGAGGGAAGCGGCCUUGUGGGGAUGUGCUCCCGGUGGAUCGAAUACACAAAUUAUUGUGGAAAUACAAACUGAAAGGUGUUCCUGUUCUGAAAUUUGCUAACAGCUCUGGCUAUACUUGCACAUGCAAAUCAGUGACACAGUGCAUAUGGACAGACAUCCAUCAGCAGUGUGCUGCAGGACUGUAGUGCUGUUGGAAGAGCCAAUUGGUGAAAAAUGUCUAAUGCCUGCUGCAUUAAAAGUGCAUGUUGCCUGCAGUUGCCAUUUGUCAUCUGCAUAAUCGGGUCUUGGGUAUUUCAGGAUGAUUGUUCUGGGAAAGACCUCAUUGUAGUCUUCCAGUACUUAAAGGGAGCUUACAAGCAGGAGGGGGACUGACUUCUUAUGUGGUUUAAUAGUGAUAG